AAAAGCCUACCAAGGCGACGAUCAGUAGCUGGUCUGAGAGGACGACCAGCCACACUGGGACUGAGACACGGCCCAGACUCCUACGGGAGGCAGCAGUGGGGAAUUUUGGACAAUGGGCGAAAGCCUGAUCCAGCAAUGCCGCGUGUGUGAAGAAGGCCUUCGGGUUGUAAAGCACUUUUGUCCGGAAAGAAAUCCUGAGGGCUAAUAUCCUUCGGGGAUGACGGUACCGGAAGAAUAAGCACCGGCUAACUACGUGCCAGCAGCCGCGGUAAUACGUAGGGUGCAAGCGUUAAUCGGAAUUACUGGGCGUAAAGCGUGCGCAGGCGGUUUGUUAAGACCGAUGUGAAAUCCCCGGGCUCAACCUGGGAACUGCAUUGGUGACUGGCAAGCUAGAGUAUGGCAGAGGGGGGUAGAAUUCCACGUGUAGCAGUGAAAUGCGUAGAGAUGUGGAGGAAUACCGAUGGCGAANNCAGCCCCCUGGGCCAAUACUGACGCUCAUGCACGAAAGCGUGGGGGAGCAAACAGGAUUAGAUACCCUGGUAGUCCACGCCCUAAACGAUGUCAACUAGUUGUUGGGGAUUCAUUUCCUUAGUAACGUAGCUAACGCGUGAAGUUGACCGCCUGGGGAGUACGGUCGCAAGAUUAAAACUCAAAGGAAUUGACGGGGACCCGCACAAGCGGUGGAUGAUGUGGAUUAAUUCGAUGCAACGCGAAAAACCUUACCUACCCUUGACAUGGUCGGAAUCCUGGAGAGAUCUGGGAGUGCUCGAAAGAGAACCGAUACACAGGUGCUGCAUGGCUGUCGUCAGCUCGUGUCGUGAGAUGUUGGGUUAAGUCCCGCAACGAGCGCAACCCUUGUCCUUAGUUGCUACGCAAGAGCACUCUAGGGAGACUGCCGGUGACAAACCGGAGGAAGGUGGGGAUGACGUCAAGUCCUCAUGGCCCUUAUGGGUAGGGCUUCACACGUCAUACAAUGGUCGGAACAGAGGGUCGCCAACCCGCGAGGGGGAGCUAAUCCCAGAAAACCGAUCGUAGUCCGGAUUGCACUCUGCAACUCGAGUGCAUGAAGCUGGAAUCGCUAGUAAUCGCGGAUCAGCAUGCCGCGGUGAAUAC
rnacentral:rRNA from 1 species